rnacentral:rRNA from 1 species
UUGACGGAAGAAUACCACAAGGAGUGGAUUGUGCGGCUUAAUUUGACUCAACGCGAGGUAACUUACCAAUAUUUUAUUAUUUUGAGAGAACGGUUUUUUGUUUGAGAAUGACCGGGA